UACGUAGGGGGCAAGCGUUGUCCGGAUUUAUUGGGCGUAAAGAGCGUGUAGGCGGCCAGGUAGGUCAGCUGUGAAAACUCGAGGCUCAACCUCGAGAUGUCGGCUGAAACCAUCUGGCUAGAGUCCGGAAGAGGAGAAUGGAAUUCCCGGUGUAGCGGUGAAAUGCGCAGAUAUCGGGAAGAACACCCGUGGCGAAAGGCGGUUCUCUGGGAC
rnacentral:rRNA from 1 species